rnacentral:lncRNA from 1 species
CAGAAUCUGGAAUUAGGGAGGGCAGUGAAUCCCUGCCUGGGACCUCUCCUAAGGCAGAAGGGAAGAAGAAGUGCACUGGCUCCUUUGAUUCCUACUGCUUUCCCGCUUCCACUAGGAUCUCCCAUUGGCUGAACCCAACUGGAAACCAAGUGACGUGGAAAUCUGCGAUGCAGCCUGCAGAAAUCAGUCCUCCUAGCAUCCACAGCAGAGGAUGGGUGAAACUGGCAAACAGUUUCCUAAGCUAAGACUGAGCCCCAAGCAGAUGGAAAAUUUACAGCCCAGAGAAGCCAGUGUUCAAAUGAACACUGAGGAUCUAGCAAAAGCGUACACACGCAUGCACGCAUGCACACAGACGUCCUCCUCCUCCUCCUUGGCAUCGUCAUCAUUGCAAUCCUCUAUAAGCUGCAGCACCCGUCACCAGCCCCUGGUGGCUACUCACUCACCUGCUGGUAAAUAACAGGACACGUGUGAUGACUGGUUUACGUGCUAUUUCUGGGGCUUAUGAGCGGCCUCAGAAGACCUCACCAUCUACGUAUCGAACAGCAAAGCUCUUGUAAUUGAGAAACCAAUAUCCUCUCUGACAGCACUCAUGUUUCCAAAUGCCCAACAGAUAUUAACCUUUGAGAUCUGGGGACAAGAACUUGGAAUUCCUCAAAUCAUAAGUUAUGCUUAAAAUACUUUGAACAUUCUUCAUACUCUUUUCUUUAGUAAUUAUCAUGAAUACCUAAAAACAUUGAUGGAUAUAUAAGAAAUAGUAAGUUGAACAGAAUCUACUGAGAGCUUUACAAAGAAUUUAUUAAAAAAUAUUUGCCUCUAGCAAAUAUUUAAAUCCUGGAAAGUGCCAGUGAACAUUACUGGGUAAUAUUUGAAUAAUGUGACAUUCAGUUCUCCUAGCAAGGUUGAAAACACUACACAGAUUCAAGAAGUUGCCACAGAACUUACUUUGCUUCCAACCUUAUAAUUUCUUGGAACUCCACCCACAGGACUUGAAUAAAGUAUACUAUACAUAUAAAUACAUUAAUAUUUUAUUUUCUUUGCAAGAAUGGCUCACAUUAGCAGCCUACAGGACCACAAACACACAACUGCAAACAAGCCUGAGUAGGCGAUGACUGAUUCGCUCCUGUGUACUCUGGUCCUGGUUCCUGGAAAUGUCUUCAGCUUAGGCUUCAUG